rnacentral:rRNA from 1 species
GACGAACGCUGGCGGCGUGCCUAAUACAUGCAAGUCGAACGCAGUGGGGACGGGUGAGUAACACGUGGGUAACCUCCCAUCAGAGGGGAUAACACUUGGAAACAGGUGCUAAAACGAUACUGAUGGAUGGAACCGCGGUGCAUUAGCUAGUGGGUGAGGUAACGGCUCACCAAGGCCACGAUGCAUAGACGACCGGAGCGGGUGUGCGGCCCCACUGGGACUGAGAAACGGCCCAGACUCCUACGGGAGGCAGCAGUAGGGAAUCUUCGGCAAUGGACGAAAUGCUAACCGAGCAACGCCGCGUGAGUGAAGAAGGUUUUCGGAUCGUAAAACUCUGUUGUUAGAGAAGCGGUAUCUAACCAGAAAGCCACGGCUAACUACGUGCCAGCAGCCGCGGUAAUUC